UGGUCGGAGCCCGUGUGUCCCCAUUUAGGGCUCCUGGGGUGGGGGUUAAUGUUUCCCCCUCCUGCACUCCGGGAUCGGGCUUUCAGGAGGCAGUUCCUCAUAACGGAAGGACAGAAAGGGUCACGCCCGGAGUAAGGGCCCUGGAGCACGAGGCCGGGUCACCAAGACCGGACCUGCUGACCCACUGAGGGGACGAUUGGGCCGAGCCUCUUGGGAACACACAAGAGGAGCUGUAUGAAAGGAGGAGACCUUGGAGCUGGAGAGAAAGUCUCCAAGGAUAUUAAACCGUCUGCUUUGCCCCGUCGCUCUGUUCCAUCGAUACCUGCUCGCUGACUGGAAGGGCAGAGUACACCCACCCACACAGACACCGUGAGUGGGGAAGCCCAGUGACACAGUCCCACCCAGCACGCGGCCGUCCCGAAUGCCCGCGAGCUUCCAGGAACGCGGCCUGUCUCAAGGCUCACGCCCUCGCCUAUCCGGACAUCCGGUGCUUCAUUUGUGAAGCUUGUGGCAAGGCCUUAAAAGGACCCCGCUGUGUCUGCCCACCGCGCUUCCUGCUGCUGCUCCUGCUGCUCCCGGCAGGUCAGCCUUACCAGGGAGCCGGCUCAGCACGUCCUGGUGCCUCACGGCAGACUGGGUCUCCUGCUAAUGUGGGCACAAAAAGGGAAAGACAGUGAGAGUCGCUCAGGCGUGUCUGACUCUUUGCGACCCCAUGGACUGUAGUUCAUGGGAUUCUCCAGGCCGGAGUACUAGAGUGGGUAGCUGUUCCCUUCACCAAGGGAUCUUCCCCAACCCAGGGAUCGAACACAGGUCUCCUGCAUUGCAGACGGAUUCUUUACCAGCUGAGCCACCAGGGAAGCCCGUGGUAGAUGCAGAGGGAGGGAAGGGCACAGCACGCAUGCUGUUAGGGGGCCACGUCCUGGGAAUCCUGCCGCAGGCCGCCAGCGUCCAGCUCGAGGGCUGUCAGUUGCAGAGCUAGGCCCUGCCCUCUCUGAAGGACAAGGCAGUACCCUUUUCUGUGCUGGCUCUUUCUAACACUGAAUGAUCUUCAGCCUUCGGGUGUGUUGCGAGUCCGUGGGUGGCAGGGGAAGGAGGAGACAGUAUCAUGAAAGAUGGAUUCACCUCCAAGGGCGAUUUCUGGUCUUGGCUCAGAUGGUAAAGAAUCUGCCUGCAGUGCUGGAGAUCCCUGGGUCAGGAAGAUCCCCAGGAUUAGGGAAUGGCAACCCGCUCCAGUUUUCUUGCCUGGAGAAUGCGCAUGGACAGAGGAGCCUGGGGGGCUACAGUCCAUGGGAUCAUAAAGAGUUGGACACGACUGAGCGAAUAACACAACACUUUUUCCUAUUGUAGAAUGACUGGUUCCUUCUCCGGCCUAGAAGGAUAAAGUGACUUUUAAAGGAAAGUCACAACUUUUCGGACAAAAGCUAUCUCUUUUGUCUUCCCUCCCUCCGCAUCUACCGCGUCUCCAAAUAGUGACUUUAUACUGGCUGGGUAUUUUCUUUUUUUUAACCCUCCGAUGGCAGAGGUGAGGCGCGCAGGCACCCGGAACCAUGGUUCGCGGGUGUUUUGUUUCCCGCCGGGGCGGAUGCCUCGGGUCCCGCCCGGUCGCGAUGGCGGCGGGAGCCGGUAGACGGCUCCGGACUCUGAGUCCAUCUCUGCCGCGCCGCAGACAGACGUCCUGGGGCCGCCCCUCGGGCCGCUUCCCGCCGCGCCCGGACCCGAGAGGCUCCCGCACCGCCCGCCGGCGCCGGGAGGCUGGGCCCGAGCUCCGCGCGGCAGGAGAGGCCCGAGCAGCGCGGUGCGUCUGCUGGGGCGCCCGCUCAGACGCAGAUGCGCGGGGCGGAGCGGUUCGGAGCUGGUGGGUUCCGCGGAAAGAGCUAAUUUAGAGGGUCCCGCUCGUGUCCGCCCCUCAGGUUCCCAGAGGGCUCCUCGACCCCGAGCCUCUCCGUGGGCCAUGGGCCCUCCUUCCCUAGGGUGGCCCCCCGCCCCGGGGCCUCUGCCCACCUGGGAAGGCCCGUCACCCGCUCACCGUCGGGGAUGGUGUUGGCCCUGCGUGGCCGGAGCCCAGGCGCCCCUCUUGUUCCCGUCCCUCCCUGAGAGCUCCCCGCAUUGCCGGAGCCACAGCACCUCCCGCUCGGAGGUCUUCAAGCAGCCCAUCGAGGAUUCGGAGGCGUCGCUUCACGCACCGGCCCGCUGUGUCCCGGUGUUCUCAGGAGGCCGGGCGGCUGGCCCAGCACAUCCAGGACCGCUCGGCUGGAAGGGAUUUCCUGGACGGUGGAGAGGCCGCAGGGGCUCCGUAGAGGCUCCUGUUUCUGGUGCAGAAGGCAGAGCGCGGGGUCUGGGCCGCCUCCUUACUUGCCCUGUGACCUGAGGCUGCCUCGCUGGGCCUGUUUCCUCCUCCUGAAAUUACUUGUGACCUCCAGCCAACCUGCCCAGCGGGGAGAAGCAGGAGUCUCUUGUUGGACCCCUGACUCUCCCACAGCCUCUCUUCAUAGCCUGGGAUCGAUCACCACCCAUCCUGGACUCAGUUUCUCGAUCUGUGAGAGGGUACAGAAUAAAGCAGCCUGAUCAGGUGAGCUGCAAACUCACCUAAUAUGAAGGUAGCA